AGCACCGCAGGUGCUGAUGCCUCGGUGAAGAUGCCAAAGCUACAUAACAUAAAGCUACUAAUAAUUUUGCUGCAUGCAAAAACUCACAGAGUGGGUAAUGAUCGACCAUUAUUAUUAUUAAAACGAUCUAUGCCAAAAGUUCAAGUCUAAAAUAAAUGGCUGCAUUAGCAGAGCCUUGCAGCUCUCUUCUCACUCUUGCAGCUACCAAUAGCUAGCGUUUUAGUGCAGAGCUAACUACUAAGUAGAGUAGCAACACUCGGUAAAAACAAGUUUGGCUACGUGCUCUUCUGAAAAGGCUGCAAUGGCAUUCCAAGUAAGCAAAACUAGGUAGAGUAAGUAACCCAUCUUCGCCAGGCACCUAUAAUCGGCGGCUAUUGCACGAAGCACAAGACAAUUUUGCACAAAACUAACUACAUGGAUCUACAGAUGGGUAAGAAAGUAACAGCUCCCCAAAAUUUGGAAAGAAUAACUUGCUUGCGGACGGAAUGGUGGUCAUGAGAAGUGAGCUGCCGAAUGUAUCGAUAAUCGUCAGUGAGACACUUAUCUCCGUCUUUGCACGCUUACCAAGCACUGAAACUACCAACACUAAACAAUGCUUCUUGGCACAACUCUAACUAGUGAGCACUACUUGCAGGCAAAGCAGCGUUAGCUGCAGAUCGAGCCCCACCCAGCUAGGCAUGACGAAAAUUUUGCAGAAAAUAAUGCUGAUUCAGCAAUAAUUGUGCACAUUCAGCAAUAAUUGUGGCAAAUUAAACUGGGAUUAGCCUCGAUUUCAGGCCGCCCUUAAGAUAUGUGCACAAUUAUUGCUGAAUCAGCACUAUUUUUUGCAAAAUUUUCGUCAUGCCUAGCUGGGUGGGGCUCGAUCUGCAGCUAACGCUGCUUUGCCUGCAAGUAGUGCUCACUAGUUAGAGUUGUGCCAAGAAGCAUUGUUUAGUGUUGGUAGUUUCAGUGCUUGGUAAGCGUGCAAAGACGGAGAUAAAUGUCUCACUGACGAUUAUCGAUACAUUCGGCAGCUCAUUUCUCAUGACCACCAUUCCCUCCGCAAGCAAGUUAUUCUUUCUAAAUUUUGGGGAGCUGUUACUUUCUUACCCAUCUGUAGAUCCAUGUAGUUAGUUUUGUGCAAAAUUGUCUUGUGCUUCGUGCAAUAGCCGCCGAUUAUAGGUGUCUGGCGAAGAUAGGUUACUUACUCUAGCUAGCUAGCUACAUGUAGUUCUAGCAACUCUUCAAUCUAUGGUUCUAGUGAGGCAGAGCUCAUGUCAAUGAUUCUUCCAGAGACUAGACUCAUGCAUAUAGAUCUACACUAUACUGUGGACUAGACUCAUCUACUUGUAAGAAGGUAGUACUGUACUGUAUGUAGGUGGCUGUUGAUUAUGUCAAGAAUUGCCAGCAUGAACUCGUGAGCAUCUUCUUGGUUUAUACCUGUUUGGAGCGUGGUAUGACUAUCCUAUAUAGCCGAAUGUCUUUGUCUAUCGCUAUAUAGGGUUGGACAGAAGGGUUAUGGCUGCCAGUGAUGCAUCUCAAUAAAAAACUGAGAGUUUUCAGCUGAGAGUUUCCAGAGGAAGAAACGUGGGAUACAUGCAGCCUCACUAUAACAUGAUAACUUUUCACUUCACUUCACUUCCCUGAACAUAAUUUCUGUUACAAGUUUUACAUCAAAUGUGCAUUAAUAGUCUCUGUACCAUGACUGGUAUAAUCAAUGAAACU